GGAUUUCCAGACGAAUUGCUGCAAGUUUUCAAAGAAUGUGGAAUCACCCUUUACGAGCUAGUAUCGUACUCAUUUGAAGAGUUUUGUCAUAAAUGGGAACCAACGCCGAUUAGCUGGAGAUACGACGAGCAGUUCGACACUAUCCAAAAUUGGAGGGAGCGUAACAGAUUGUUUGUCGUGAAACCAACGUCUCUGGUUGAGGGAAACGCAUGCAAACAUGAAGUGAUUGAAAUUGAAAUAUUGAAAUAAUUGCAAGUAUAAGCACGUAUACGUAGAGCACAAAUGUGGCCCUUUUAACAAAUGUAAUUAGAAUGAGAACGAAUCAGUGCGCAUCGUACCUUCGUGCUGUGCGUACACGAAUUCUCUCUGCUCUUGGAAGUUUUCUUAAAAACUACCUAAAGCAAUAAAACAGUACUUUUCAGUG